rnacentral:rRNA from 1 species
CCCUAUGGGUUGUAACUGCUUUUAUACGGGAAGAAACACUCCCUCGUGAUGGAGCUUGACGGUACUGUAAGAAUAAGGAUCGGCUAACUCCGUGCCAGCAGCCGCGGUAAUACGAAGGAUCCAAGCGUUAUCCGGAAUCAUUGGGUUUAAAGGGUCCGUAGGCGGGAUAAUAAGUCAGCGGUGAAAGUCUGUGGCUCGGCCAUAGAAUUGCCAUUGAUACUGUUGUUCUUGAGUGAUUAUGAAGUGGUUAGAAUGUG